rnacentral:rRNA from 1 species
UACGUAGGGUGCGAGCGUUGUCCGGAAUUAUUGGGCGUAAAGGGCUCGUAGGCGGUUUGUCGCGUCGGGAGUGAAAACUCAGGGCUUAACCCUGAGCCUGCUUCCGAUACGGGCAGACUAGAGGUAUGCAGGGGAGAACGGAAUUCCUGUGUAGCGGUGAAAUGCGGCAGAAUAUCAGGAGGAACACCGGUGGCGAAGGGCGGAUUCU